AGCGAACGCUGGCGGCAGGCCUAACACAUGCAAGUCGAACGAACCUUUCGGGGUUAGUGGCGGACGGGUGAGUAACACGUGGGAACGUGCCUUUAGGUUCGGAAUAACUCAGGGAAACUUGUGCUAAUACCGAAUGUGCCCUUCGGGGGAAAGAUUUAUCGCCUUUAGAGCGGCCCGCGUCUGAUUAGCUAGUUGGUUGAGGUAAUGGCUCACCAAGGCGACGAUCAGUAGCUGGUCUGAGAGGAUGAUCAGCCACAUUGGGACUGAGACACGGGCCAAACUCCUACGGGAGGCAGCAGUGGGGAAUCUUGCGCAAUGGGCGAAAGCCUGACGCAGCCAUGCCGCGUGAAUGAUGAAGGUCUUAGGAUUGUAAAAUUCUUUCACCGGGGACGAUAAUGACGGUACCCGGAGAAGAAGCCCCGGCUAACUUCGUG
rnacentral:rRNA from 1 species